ACUUUUUUUAGAAGGGGUUCGUAAGCUUGUGUUAUACUAAAGCUUAGCUCCUCAAGCAAACUGGUGUUUUCCCUUUUUGUUAUCAGUAGAGGACUUUCAUUGUUGCUUUUUUUCUUCAGUAGAGUUUUUGAAAUCUGCAGGGGCUUUUCUGUUUUUCUUUUGUUUUGCUCUUUUUUGCUUUUUUUUAAAGAAAGUUUUUAAAUGUUCAUUUAGUAAUGGAGUCAAAGUGGAACCAGGAAGGCAAUUCUUAAAAAAAAAAAAAAUUGUCCAAAAUUAAAAUUCCUGACCUUAAUGGAAAAUAAAAAAUUUUACCAUUAAAUCAUGAGACAAAUGCAGUUAGGAUAUAUCAGCUAUCAAAGUGCAGAAAUCAAGUCUCCAUGAGAAAUAAACCUUUGCUGCUGGAUUCUUUCACUAUGAUGGCAGAAAAUCAAGACUUGGAGGAGACUGUUAUAUAAAGUUUCUCUAACAUUCAUUACAUUUAUCUAAGGACUCUAUCAGAUACUUUCAGUGUGGUCUCUCCUAAGUUCAUUGAAAUUCAAAAUAAUUAAUUGAAGUAAAGCCCUGUAUUUGUGCAUGCGUUCUGAGCAAUUAAGUGGAGUGAAACACAUGUAUUGCUAAUCUUGCAUGCUGUGAUUAAGAUAGAAAUGAAGACGUCCAUCAAACGAGAUUACUUCUUCAUCAACAAGGCUCAGAAAUAUUUCUACAGCUGUUUAGAUCGUUUUAAUUGUAUCAGAGCCUCUCACAUCAUGGUUUAAGUGAGGCACUAUUUCCCCCCAUUAAAAAAGAGACUAUGAAGAUAUGAGAGUAUACUAAUCCGCAUGUGAAAGAAAUCACAAUGCAUUUAAAGGUUUCUUUACCAAUAAAAUUAGAUUAGCUAAAGAAACAAAA